rnacentral:rRNA from 1 species
GACGAACGCUGGCGGCGUGCUUAACACAUGCAAGUCGAACGGGAUUUAGUAAACAGAAGCCUCGGUGGAAGAUUACUAAUGAGAGUGGCGAACGGGUGAGUAACGCCUGAGCAACCUGCCUAUGACAGUGGGAUAGCCUCGGGAAACCGGGAUUAAUACCGCAUAAAAUCGUAGAAACACAUGUUUUAACGGUCAAAGAUUUAUCGGUCAUAGAUGGGCUCGCGUCUGAUUAGCUAGUUGGUGAGAUAACAGCCCACCAAGGCGACGAUCAGUAGCCGGUCUGAGAGGAUGAACGGCCACAUUGGAACUGAGACACGGUCCAAACUCCUACGGGAGGGAGCAGUGGGGAAUAUUGCACAAUGGGGGAAACCAUGAUGCAGCGACGCCGCGUGAACGAAGAAGGUAUUCGUAUCGUAAAGUUCUGUCCUAUGGGAAGAUAAUGACAGUACCAUAGAAGAAAGCUCCGGCUAAAUACGUG